AUUUAAAAUUUAAAGUAAAAUAUUGUUCAAAAUGAAGACAAAGAGUCUUGGAUACUUUCUGGCAGUACAGCUUUGUAAAAUGUGUUCAUAUGCUGAUUAAUAGAGGAACUAAUUUGAUACAUCAUGAAAAAUGACCUCAAGACUAGCUGGUAAAAAAAAAAGGAAAAAAACAUUAAGGGUCUAAGAAAAGGGAAGUUAGUUCUGAGAAAAUGUCUAGCCAAUUUUUUAUUUUAUUUUUCUGGCAAAUGCCGAUCAGUCUUGUAUCUAAUGCAGUGAAAUUCAGAUAUUUGUGAGUGUCCAAAUACUUGUUGGGGCCACUUUUUUAAAAUGAUAUAAUGUACUAAUGUUUCUGUAAAUUAUAGCAAGUCCACAGCAGCCCAGCAUCAGUAUGUAUGGAGGUGAGAAAAUGGGUGACGCCAUCACAGUAGAAUGUUCAACUUUCCACACGUGUCCAUACAGCAAACCAACAAUCACUCUGAACGGGAUAGCAGGAUCUGACAAAAUCAAGGAUGAAUCUAUUAAAGAUGGCCUGUUGAAAAUCACUCUGACACGCACAGGUGUCGUAAGGGCAGAAAGCUUGACUAUUACGUGUUCAGUAACACAUUAUGGUGGUAUAAAAGCGACAGCUACAGAGGUCAAAAGGUCAAAAUGUGUUCAUCAUAAAAUAACGAUUGAGCCUGAACUGGCAGAUGUCACUGAGGGUGUCGCAAAGAGCUUCACUUGUAACGUCUACCAUUCCUGCCAGAACGAGAAUCCAACCAUCACAUGGAACUAUGGGAACAUGCAGGUCACAAAGGGGAACAAAAAAAACCAGAUCAGCUAUUCCCACAUAACCUUUCUGGGUGCAAAAGAAGAUCAUGGGAAGAAAUUGAUUUGCACUGCAAAAUUUUCUGGAGGAGACAUUUCAGCUUUUGUUGUUUUACGUGUACAACAGUACAAUAAACCAGUCCAGAUCCUGAAUGAAAGUAUGUGGGUUUUUCCCCCUGACACCAUACUCUCAUAUUUAUAUUAUUGUCCUGUACUCAUAGACCUUUUGAUAAUAAGCAACAAUACCUCCAGUUCCUGGGAAACAGUGUUUGCUGUGACCUUUAUUCCAACUGGAUAUGAAGAGAAAGAUGAAAUUGUCUGCACUGCCAACUUUUGGGGCGGUAAAACACAGGAAAACACUGCCUUCCUCAGUAUUAGAAGAUUUCAAGGGGUUGGAAUAGGGCCUUAUGUCAUUGGACCGUCACUUGUGUUCAUCCUAAUUUGCAUAUUUGCUGGAGUCUUCAUUUAUAAGAGACAACACAAACGGCCUCAUCAGGAUAUACAAGGUUCACUAACA
ensembl:lncRNA